UACGUAGGGGGCGAGCGUUGUUCGGAUUUACUGGGCGUAAAGGGCGCGCAGGCGGCUCAUUUUGUCAGGCGUGAAAGCCCCGGGCUUAACCUGGGAACUGCGUUUGUGACUGCAUGGCUUGAGUGCGGCAGAGGGGGAUGGAAUUCCGCGUGUAGCAGUGAAAUGCGUAGAUAUGCGGAGGAACACCGAUGGCGAAGGCAAUCCCCUGGGCCUGCACUGACGCUCAUGCACGAAAGCGUGGGGAGCAAACAGG
rnacentral:rRNA from 1 species